rnacentral:rRNA from 1 species
GAACGCUGGCGGCAGGCCUAACACAUGCAAGUCGAGCGGUAACAGAAAGAAAGCUUGCUUUCUUUGCUGACGAGCGGCGGACGGGUGAGUAAUGCCUGGGAAUAUGCCUUAGUGUGGGGGAUAACUAUUGGAAACGAUAGCUAAUACCGCAUAACGUCUUCGGACCAAAGAGGGGGACCUUCGGGCCUCUCGCGCUAAGAUUAGCCCAGGUGGGAUUAGCUAGUUGGUGAGGUAAAGGCUCACCAAGGCAACGAUCCCUAGCUGGUCUGAGAGGAUGAUCAGCCACACUGGAACUGAGACACGGUCCAGACUCCUACGGGAGGCAGCAGUGGGGAAUAUUGCACAAUGGGGGAAACCCUGAUGCAGCCAUGCCGCGUGUAUGAAGAAGGCCUUCGGGUUGUAAAGUACUUUCAGUCGUGAGGAAGGCAUUGUAGUUAAUAGCUGCAGUGCUUGACGUUAGCGACAGAAGAAGCACCGGCUAACUCCGUG